rnacentral:lncRNA from 1 species
CAACCUACCUGUAUAAAACUUCAUCAGGGAAGGUACCAACAACUUGGUGGAGAGAGGAUGGUUCUCAAUCAUUUCAAAAAACUUCUGGGUUCGUGGCUGAACAGCAGGGUUGGUCAUAAACAUGACUUCUACCAGUUUGGCCAUACUCACAGAGUUCAGUCAGCCAGUCAUUCACAUCUUCCAUCGUUGCAUUCACACGCGUCUCAUCAUUGGGAAGAGUAAUCCGACAUCUUGGGUGAAAAAUAUACGUGGGAUCAACUGUUUCUAACUUGAUUUUUGUACUUAGCUGCUGCAGUACCCAAAGGAAAUUCAGCAUAAAUCCAUCUGUAGACACCAAUCUAUCAUCUGUCUGUGAUCCUACCUGCAUCUGUGCUUUCUUCAUAUUGGCAUUGACGACAGCCGCCAUGUAACUGAGAGCAGCCUCACGGGUUUCGCCAUUUAACAAAAUACUAUGCAGAAUCUUAAAAAGCUCUUGC